rnacentral:rRNA from 1 species
AGAGUUUGAUCCUGGCUCAGAACGAACGCUGACGGCGUGGCUAAGACAUGCAAGUCGUACGAAUUUUUUGAUUGAGUAAUCGAGAUAAAAGUUAGUGGCGAAAGGGUGAGUAAUGUGUAGAUAACGUACCCUGAACUCUGUGAUAACUGCGGGCUUCGGCCCUUUGCGAAAGUGCAGGUAAUACCGGAUGAUAUCUUUUGAUCGUAUGGUUGAAAGAUCAAAGGCUUCGGCUGGUUUUGGAGCGGUCUACAUCGUAUCAGCUAGUUGGUGAGGUAACGGCUCACCAAGGCAUCGACGCGUAGCGGGACUGAGAGGUUGACCCGCCACAUUGGGACUGAGAAACUGCCCAGACCCCCACGGGGGGCUGCAGUAACGGAUAUUGCGCAAUGGACGAAAGUCUGACGCAGCGACGCCGUGUGUAGGAAGAAGCCCCUCGGGGUGUAAACUACUGUCAGGGUGAAGAAAGGUCUUCGGACUUGAUCGAUCCCAAAGGAAGGACCGGCUAACUUCGUGCCAGCAGCCGCGGUAAUACGAAGGGUCCAAGCGUUGUUCGGAAUUACUGGGCUUAAAGAGCACGUAGGCGGAAGGGUAAGUGUUUUGUGAAAUCCCACGGCUCAACCGUGGAAUUGCUUGGCAAACUACCUUUCUUGAGGCAGAUAGAGGUACAUGGAACUCUAGGUGGAGCGGUGAAAUGCGUAGAUAUCUAGAGGAACGCCAGUGGAGAAAUCGGUGUACUGGGUCUGUACUGACGCUGAGGUGCGAAAGCGUGGGGAGCGAACGGGAUUAGAUACCCCGGUAGUCCACGCUGUAAACGAUGUCUACUAGGUUGUAGGAGUUCUGACACUAAUGCAGCCGGAGCAAAAGUAUUAAGUAGACCGCCUGGGGAGUACGGUCGCAAGGCUAAAACUCAAAGGAAUUGACGGGGGCUCACACAAGCGGUGGAGCAUGUGGCUUAAUUCGAAGCAACGCGAAGAACCUUAUCCUGGGUUUGACAUGCAUGGAUGCCCAUCCUGAAAGGGAGUAGGCUGCCUUCGGGUGAAACUUGCACAGGUGCUGCAUGGCUGUCGUCAGCUCGUGUCGUGAGAUGUCGGGUUAAGUCCCUUAACGAGCGAAACCCUUAUCGUUAGUUGCCAGCGCGUAAUGGCGGGAACUCUAGCGAGACUGCCGGUGUUAAACCGGAGGAAGGCGGGGAUGACGUCAAGUCCUCAUGGCCUUUAUGCCCAGGGCUGCACACGUGCUACAAUGACGUAGACAGACCGACGCGAUACCGCGAGGUGGAGCAAAUCGGAAAAACUGCGUCUCAGUUCGGAUUGUAGGCUGCAACUCGCCUACAUGAAGUUGGAAUCGCUAGUAAUCGCAGAUCAGCUAUGCUGCGGUGAAUAUGUUCCUGAGCCUUGUACACACCGCCCGUCAAGUCACGGAAGCUGGGAGCACUUGAAGUCGGGUAGCUAACUUUAAUUAGAAGCGCCUGCCGAUGGUGAGUUCGGUAACUGGGGCUAAGUCGUAACAAGGUA